UACGGAAGGCAGCAGUGGGGAAUAUUGCACAAUGGGCGCAAGCCUGAUGCAGCCAUGCCGCGUGUAUGAAGAAGGCCUUCGGGUUGUAAAGUACUUUCAGUCGUGAGGAAGGUGUUAAGGUUAAUAACCUUAGCAAUUGACGUUAGCGACAGAAGAAGCACCGGCUAACUCCGUGCCAGCAGCCGCGGUAAUACGGAGGGUGCGAGCGUUAAUCGGAAUUACUGGGCGUAAAGGGCACGCAGGCGGUUAAUUAAGUUGGAUGUGAAUCCCCGGGCUUAACCUGGGAAUGGCAUUCAAGACUGGUUAGCUAGAGUCUUGUAGAGGGGGUAGAAUUCCAUGUGUAGCGGUGAAAUGCGUAGAGAUGUGGAGGAAUACCGGUGGCGAAGGCGGCCCCUGGGACAAAGACUGACGCUCAUGUGCGAAAGCGUGGGGAGCAAACAGGAUUAGAUACC
rnacentral:rRNA from 1 species